rnacentral:rRNA from 1 species
UGGGGAAUAUUGCACAAUGGGGGAAACCCUGAUGCAGCGACGCCGCGUGAGCGAAGAAGGUUUUCGAAUCGUAAAGCUCUGUCCUAUGAGAAGAUAAUGACGGUAUCAUAGGAGGAAGCCCCGGCUAAAUACGUGCCAGCAGCCGCGGUAAUACGUAUGGGGCGAGCGUUGUACGGAAUUAUUGGGCGUAAAGGGUACGUAGGCGGUCUAUUAAGUCAGGUGUGAAAGCGUGAGGCUUAACCUCAUUAAGCACUUGAAACUGAUAGACUUGAGUGAAGGAGAGGAAAGUGGAAUUCCUGGUGUAGCGGUGAAAUGCGUAGAUAUUAGGAGGAAUACCGGUGGCGAAGGCGACUUUCUGGACUUUUACUGACGCUCAGGUACGAAAGCGUGGGGAGCAAACAGG